GACGAACGCUGGCGGCGUGCUUAACACAUGCCAGUCGAACGGAAAGGCCCUGCUUGCUGGGUAUUCGAGUGGCGAACGGGUGAGUAACACGUGGGUGCACUGCCCUCCACUUCGUGAUAAGCCUGGGAGACUGGGUCUAAUACCGGAUAGGAGACAUUUUUAGUGUGUUGGUUGGAAAGAUUUUUCGGUGUAGGAUGAGUUAGCGGCCUAUCAGCUUGUUGGUGGGGUAAUGGCCUACCAAGGCGGCGACGGGUAGCCCGCCUGGGGGGGUGGACGGCCGCAUUGGGACUGAGGUACGGCCCAGACUGCUACGGGAGGCAGCAGGGGGGAAUAUUGCACAAUGGGCGCCAGCCUGGUGCAGCGGCGCCGCGUGGGGGAUGACGGCCUUCGGGUUGGAAACUCCUUUCGCUAGGGACGAAGCUUUUUGUGACGGUACCUAGAUAAGAAGCACCGGCUAACUACGUG
rnacentral:rRNA from 1 species